rnacentral:lncRNA from 1 species
UCAUACUUAACUAUUAAAUUUCCAGCAUAUUUUCCUAAUUUCGAAAUUUCAUCAAUUUAGUCCAUACAACAUAAAACUUAUGAAUUACUUUACAAUUCAAUCCUUAUUUCAUUUCUAACUUGAAUUCCUAUCAAUCUAACCCCUAAUUCAUCUUUUUAUUCAACAUGAACAAUAUUUAAAAAUCUAAUAACUUUCAAAAUAUUCACUUAAUUUCAUCAAAACCUUGUCCCAAAGCUUCCAAAACAUCAAAAUUAAGUAAAAAGGGCUAAAUUGACUUACCUAUUUAACUUUCAAGCCUUGAAAUCCCAAUUUUUCCCUUUUUUCCUUCUUUCUUUUUUUUUUCCUUCCUUUUUUUUCCCUGCUCUCUGUUUCGUU